rnacentral:lncRNA from 1 species
GUUCUUUGAUAUGCUGAAUAUAACCAUGUAUUUAGAUUUUAGAUAUUGGACCAUAAUAGGUAAAUGUCCAAUUUAAAUUUUUUAAGUUCUUAGACCAUAUUCAUUCUGUGUCAGAAACCUAUGCUAUGUCAAAUAUUUAAUCACAUUCUAAAUUCAGAGCUGUAUCAAGCUUGAAUGUUGUGUCCAUACUUGCCCCAACUGUUCAGGGUUCGACCUCUGCAAUCGUAUCAAGCUG